GGGGUUGUGGCUUAGAGGUAGAGCGCUCACCUAGUAUGCGUGAGGCACUAGGUUCGAUCCUUAGUACCACA
rnacentral:tRNA from 1 species